UACGUAGGGUGCGAGCGUUAAUCGGAAUUACUGGGCGUAAAGCGUGCGCAGGCGGUUCGUUAAGUCUGAUGUGAAAGCCCCGGGCUCAACCUGGGAAUGGCAUUGGAUACUGGCGGGCUGGAGUGUGGCAGAGGGGGGUGGAAUUCCGCGUGUAGCAGUGAAAUGCGUAGAGAUGCGGAGGAACACCGAUGGCGAAGGCAGCCCCCUGGGCUGACACUGACGCUCAGGCACGAAAGCGUGGGGAGCAAAC
rnacentral:rRNA from 1 species